rnacentral:rRNA from 1 species
UACGGAGGGUGCAAACGUUGCUCGGAAUCAUUGGGCGUAAAGCGCACGUAGGCGGGCUGUUAAGUCGGAUGUGAAAUCCCUCGGCUUAACCGAGGAAGUGCAUUCGAAACUGGCAGCCUUGAGUACAGAAGAGGGUCGCGGAAUUCCCGGUGUAGAGGUGAAAUUCGUAGAUAUCGGGAGGAACACCAGUGGCGAAGGCGGCGACCUGGGCUGAUACUGACGCUGAGGUGCGAAAGCGUGGGGAGCAAACAGG